rnacentral:rRNA from 1 species
GACGAACGCUGGCGGCGUGCCUAAUACAUGCAAGUAGAACGCACAGUUUAUACCGUAGCUUGCUACACCAUAGACUGUGAGUUGCGAACGGGUGAGUAACGCGUAGGUAACCUGCCUGGUAGCGGGGGAUAACUAUUGGAAACGAUAGCUAAUACCGCAUAAUAUUAAUUAUUGCAUGAUAAUUAAUUGAAAGGUGCAAUUGCACCACUACCAGAUGGACCUGCGUUGUAUUAGCUAGUAGGUGAGGUAACGGCUCACCUAGGCGACGAUACAUAGCCGACCUGAGAAGGUGAUCGGCCACACUGGGACUGAGACACGGCCCAGACUCCUACGGGAGGCAGCAGUAGGGAAUCUUCGGCAAUGGACGAAAGGCUGAACGAGCAACGCCGCGUGAGGGAAGAAGGGUUUCGGAUCGUAAAGCUCUGUUGUAAGAGAAGAACGGGUGUGAGAGUGGAAAGUUCACACUGUGACGGUAUCUUACCAGAAAGGGACGGCUAACUACGUG